GACGGUAAGGUAUUGGCUUACCGUGGCAGUGACGGUUAACGGGGRAUUAGGGUUCAAUUCCGGAGAGGGAGCCUGAGAAACGGCUACCACAUCUAAGGAAGGCAGCAGGCGCGCAAAUUACCCAAUUCUAACAGCAUAAGAGAGGUAGUGACAAGAAAUAACAGUACAAGGCAGUUAAAAUGCUUUGUAAUUGGAAUGAUAGAAAUUUAAAUACUUUUUAAAGUAUCAAUUGGAGGGCAAGUCUGGUGCCAGCAGCCGCGGUAAUUCCAGCUCCAAUAGCGUAUAUUAAAAUUGUUGCAGUUAAAAAGCUCGUAGUUGAAUUUUUGCUAAAAAUAACCGGUCUGCUUUUAUUAAUAAAAGUGGUAUCUUGGUGUGUUUUUAGCAAUAAUGUCCUUUGAAAUGUUUUUUACUUUAUUGUAARAAGCAAUUUUCAGGAUUUUUACUUUGAGAAAAUUAGAGUGUUUCAAGCAGGCUAACGUUUUGAAUACUGCAGCAUGGAAUAAUAAAAUAGGAUUUUAGUUCUACGUUAUUGGUUUUAAGAAYUAAAUUAAUGAUUGAUAGGAGCAGUUGGGGGCAUUUGUAUUUAACUGUCAGA
rnacentral:rRNA from 1 species